rnacentral:tRNA from 1 species
GACAGUGUGGCUCAGUGGAAAGAGCACGGGCUUUGGAGUCAGAGGUCAUGAGUUUGAAUCCCAGCUCUGCCA